UGCUCGUAAGAUGACGAGUGGCGGACGGGUGAGUAAUGCUUGGGAACUUGCCUUUGCGAGGGGGAUAACAGUUGGAAACGACUGCUAAUACCGCAUAAUGUCUUCGGACCAAACGGGGCUUCGGCUCCGGCGCAAAGAGAGGCCCAAGUGAGAUUAGCUAGUUGGUAAGGUAACGGCUUACCAAGGCGACGAUCUCUAGCUGUUCUGAGAGGAAGAUCAGCCACACUGGGACUGAGACACGGCCCAGACUCCUACGGGAGGCAGCAGUGGGGAAUAUUGCACAAUGGGGGAAACCCUGAUGCAGCCAUGCCGCGUGUGUGAAGAAGGCCUUCGGGUUGUAAAGCACUUUCAGUUGUGAGGAAAAGUUAGUAGUUAAUACCUGCUAGCCGUGACGUUAACAACAGAAGAAGCACCGGCUAACUCCGUGCCAGCAGCCGCGGUAAUACGGAGGGUGCGAGCGUUAAUCGGAAUUACUGGGCGUAAAGCGCACGCAGGCGGUUUGUUAAGCUAGAUGUGAAAGCCCCGGGCUCAACCUGGGAUGGUCAUUUAGAACUGGCAGACUAGAGUCUUGGAGAGGGGAGUGGAAUUCCAGGUGUAGCG
rnacentral:rRNA from 1 species